AGAACGAACGCUGGCGGCAUGCCUAACACAUGCAAGUCGAACGAGACCUUCGGGUCUAGUGGCGCACGGGUGCGUAACGCGUGGGAAUCUGCCCUUGGGUUCGGAAUAACAGUUGGAAACGACUGCUAAUACCGGAUGAUGACGUAAGUCCAAAGAUUUAUCGCCCAGGGAUGAGCCCGCGUAGGAUUAGCUAGUUGGUGAGGUAAAGGCUCACCAAGGCGACGAUCCUUAGCUGGUCUGAGAGGAUGAUCAGCCACACUGGGACUGAGACACGGCCCAGACUCCUACGGGAGGCAGCAGUGGGGAAUAUUGGACAAUGGGCGAAAGCCUGAUCCAGCAAUGCGCGUGAGUGAUGAAGGCCUUCGGUUGUAAAGCUCUUUACCCGGGAUGAUAAUGACAGUACCGGAGAAUAAGCUCCGGCUAACUCCGUGCCAGCAGCCGC
rnacentral:rRNA from 1 species